rnacentral:lncRNA from 1 species
GGGGGUCCAGAAGGUCCCCAUGGGGGUCCCCCACCUCCAUGUCCUCGACUUCUUCCUCUUAGGGGUCCCCAAAGUCCAUGGGGGGUGGGUGGGGGGGGGUCUUCAAAGGGGUCCUGCCACCUCGCCGAGGUGUCCCCAAGGUCCCCCAAGGCGCCCCCCCAGCUCGCUAUGGGGGGGCUCCCACCUCCAUGUCCUCGUCUUCUUCUUCUAAGGGGUCCCCGACACCCCUGGGGACAUUCCCGAAGGGGUCCUCCCCCUCCCCAAGGUCCUCCAGAGGGUCCCCGAGGUCCUCCAGAGGGUCCCCGAGGUCCUCCAGGGGGUCCCUGAGGUCCUCCAGGGGGUCCCCGAGGUCCUCUACUGGGUCCUCAAGGUCAUCCAAGGAGUCCCUGAGCUCCUCCACGGGGUCCCCGAGGUCCUCCACGGGGUCCCCGAGGUCCUCCAGAGGGUCCCCGAGGUCCUCCAGGGGGUUCCCAAGGUCCUCCACGGGGUCCCCGAGGUCCUCCAGAGGGUUCCCGAGGUCCUCCACAGGGUUCCCAAGGUCCUCCAGAGGGUCCCCGAGGUCCUCCACGGGGUCCCCGAGGUCCUCCAGAGGGUCCCCGAGGUCCUCCAGAGGGUCCUCCAGGGGGUCCUCCAGAAGGUCCCCGAGGUCCUCCACGGGGGGUUCCCCGGGAAGCCGCAGCAACGGAUCCCCCCCGUCCAAAGGUUCCCCCAUAUCGAGGUGAGGCCGGAGACCCCGGGGAGCCACGGCGGCCACGAGGGCACGGGCCAAGCGAGCGGGACACCGUACCAAACGGGCCGCCCGAGCCAAACGAGGCGCGACGCUACGAGGCGACCCAUCCAGAAGCUCCCGGGCUGCCCGGGCGGCCAAAGGACCGCAAGCCCAGCGCUCGGCCAAAACCCAGAGGGCUCCGGGCGACGCCGAGACGCCGGCGGCCACGACGGCCUCCAAACCGGGCACCAGGUAACGCCGGGCCAAGGCGACGGCGGCGGCGGCGACGGCCGGGCCGAUGGGGC